AAUUGAAAAUUUGUUUAAUCUUUAGCAGGGAAACGAUUCCAGUAAUAAUGACACAGAAUAAUUUGUGUAAUAGUAAAUGAGAGUAGACUGUAGAGUGAGCAAAGCAAAGCGAAGUCUCUCCUCCUACGCAAUAUUCCGGCAGCAAUGGCUCCGGUUGCUUCGAAGCUUUACACAGACGAUGUGAGUUUGGUGGUACUAUUACUCGACACUAAUCCUUAUUUCUGGACUUCUUCUUCACCUUCAUCUUCUCUCUCCUUCUCCCAUUUUCUCUCUCACGUUCUCUCAUUCGUCAAUUCAAUUUUGCUUCUCAAUCAGCUCAAUCAAGUGGUCAUCAUUGCAACUGGUCAUAAUACAUGUGGUUACAUUUUCGAUUCGUCGUUAUCUUCGGUUUCUUCAUCGAUUUCUUCCAAUCAGAGCUCCGAUAAUGCUACAAUGCCGAGUUUUUGUUCUGAUGUGAUGAAGAAUUUGGAGGAAUUUGUCACUAAAGAUGAGAGUUUGAGCUCCGUUGAUGUUGUUCAUGGCGUCGAUUCCUCCCUUUUAUCGGGUUCCCUGUCCAUGGCUCUUUGUUAUAUUCAGCGUGUUUUUCGAUCAGGGCCGCUUCAUCCUCAGCCAAGAAUAUUAUGCCUGCAUGGAUCCCCUGAUGGACCUGAGCAAUAUGUUGCUGUGAUGAAUGCCAUCUUCUCAGCUCAGCGCUCUAUGGUACCAAUUGAUUCUUGUGUUAUCGGAGGACAACAUUCUGCCUUCUUGCAGCAGGCAUCUUAUAUUACUGGUGGUGUCUAUUUGAAACCACAGCAACUAGAAGGGCUAUUUCAAUAUCUUUCUACUGUAUUUGCUACUGAUUUGCACUCCAGGAACUUCAUACAGCUGCCAAAACCUGUAGGCGUUGAUUUCCGUGCUUCGUGCUUUUGUCACAAAAACACGAUAGAUAUGGGUUACAUAUGUUCGGUCUGCUUGUCGAUAUUUUGUAUGCACCACAAGAAAUGUUCAACAUGUGGGUCACUUUAUGGUCGAGCCCAGUCAGAUGCAUCAUCAACAUCAGGUCAGAAGAGAAAAGAGCCAUCAUGAUAAAUGUUUCCCUGCUUUGCUCAACUUGGUAUCCAGCUCAAGUGAAGGUAUUGGCACAAGCACAACUAGUAUGGGGUUAUUUUCACUUGUGGCAACAUGCUUCUGUGGCUCUAGGACCUUGUUUGCGGAGGACCAAAACCUCUGGUCAUACACACUUGAACUGCCAAUCUGCUCCUUCCACUCAUAAAAGCAAUCGCAAUCAAAGGAUAGCAGGACCACUAGACAGUUUUUACCGUUUCUUCUGGUUAGGCCUAAUUUGUUAGCAUUGUGUUUUUUCCCUACAAUUCAUGGACAAAAAAAGUCGUUUUCCUUAA